GACGUAGGGGGCGAGCGUUGUCCGGAUUCAUUGGGCGUAAAGAGCGUGUAGGCGGCCAGGUAGGUCGGUUGUGAAAACUGGAGGCUCAACCUUCAGACGUCGACCGAAACCAUCUGGCUAGAGUCCGGGAGAGGAGAGUGGAAUUCCUGGUGUAGCGGUGAAAUGCGCAGAUAUCAGGAGGAACACCAAUGGCGAAGGCAGCACUCUGGGACGUGACUGACGCUGAGACGCGAAAGCGUGGGGAGCAAACAGG
rnacentral:rRNA from 1 species